rnacentral:rRNA from 1 species
UGCAGUCGAACGGUAACAGGCCGCAAGGUGCUGACGAGUGGCGAACGGGUGAGUAAUGCAUCGGAACGUGCCCAGUCGUGGGGGAUAACGCAGCGAAAGCUGCGCUAAUACCGCAUACGAUCUAUGGAUGAAAGCGGGGGACCAUAAGGCCUCGCGCGAUUGGAGCGGCCGAUGUCAGAUUAGGUAGUUGGUGGGGUAAAGGCUCACCAAGCCAACGAUCUGUAGCUGGUCUGAGAGGACGACCAGCCACACUGGGACUGAGACACGGCCCAGACUCCUACGGGAGGCAGCAGUGGGGAAUUUUGGACAAUGGGCGCAAGCCUGAUCCAGCAAUGCCGCGUACAGGAAGAAGGCCUUCGGGUUGUAAACUGCUUUUGUACGGAACGAAACGGUCUGGGUUAAUACCUCGGGCUAAUGACGGUACCGUAAGAAUAAGCACCGGCUAACUACGUGCCAGCAGCCGCGGUAAUACGUAGGGUGCAAGCGUUAAUCGGAAUUACUGGGCGUAAAGCGUGCGCAGGCGGUUUUGUAAGACAGGCGUGAAAUCCCCGGGCUCAACCUGGGAAUGGCGCUUGUGACUGCAAGGCUGGAGUGCGGCAGAGGGGGAUGGAAUUCCGCGUGUAGCAGUGAAAUGCGUAGAUAUGCGGAGG